GGGCCGGUAGUUCAGGGGUAUGAACGCCGGUUUCGCAAGCCGGAGGUCGGGGGUUCAAAUCCCCCCCGGUCCACCA
rnacentral:tRNA from 1 species